GACGAACGCUGGCGGCGUGCUUAACACAUGCAAGUCGAACGGAAAGGCCCUGCUUUUGUGGGGUGCUCAAGUGGCGAACGGGUGAGUAACACGUGAGUAACCUGCCCUUGACUUUGGGAUAACUUCAGGAAACUGGGGCUAAUACCGGAUAGGAGCUCCUGCUGCAUGGUGGGGGUUGGAAAGUUUCGGCGGUUGGGGAUGGACUCGCGGCUUAUCAGCUUGUUGGUGGGGUAGUGGCUUACCAAGGCUUUGACGGGUAGCCGGCCUGAGAGGGUGACCGGCCACAUUGGGACUGAGAUACGGCCCAGACUCCUACGGGAGGCAGCAGUGGGGAAUAUUGCACAAUGGGCGGAAGCCUGAUGCAGCAACGCCGCGUGCGGGAUGACGGCCUUCGGGUUGUAAACCGCUUUCGCCUGUGACGAAGCGUGAGUGACGGUAAUGGGUAAAGAAGCACCGGCUAACUACGUG
rnacentral:rRNA from 1 species